GCCAAGUAGGGGCCGGCGGCUGGGGUAGAACGUGGGGGGGGAGGGUUGUCCGGGAUUAUGGGGAGUAAAUGGCUCGUAGGCGGUUUGUCGCGUGGACUGGGAAAACCCGAGGCGUAACCUCGGGCCUGCAGUCGAUAGGGGCAGACUAGAGUUCGGUAGGGGAGACUGGAAUUCCUGGUGUAGCGGUGAAAUGCGCAGAUAUCAGGAGGAACACCGGUGGCGAAGGCGGGUCUCUGGGCCGAUACUGACGCUGAGGAGCGAAAGCGUGGGGAGCGAACAGGAUUAGAUACCCCUGUAGUC
rnacentral:rRNA from 1 species